CACACCUAUCAGGAGAGAUGAUGAUGGGAGGGAGAGAGAGAGAGUUAGUUAUUGUCUAUUCACAAUCCACAGAGACAAAGGGACAGCCAGAGAACAUGUGUGUGUGUGUGUGUGUGUGUGUGUGUGUGUGUGUGUGUGUGUGUGUGUGUCGUGUGUUUGUUUGUGUGUGUGCUUCCAUACGUGUAAGUGGUGUGUGUCCGUGAGAGCGAUUGUGUGUGUAGGUGGGCGGUGUGUGUUGCUGAGAGGGAGCUUUCUGAACACACAUCAUAAAGGCCAACAUUUUCUGCAAUUUAUUUGUUUUUUUUAUUCUAUGGCCACUGAUGUCAUUGUGGAAUGGGAGUAUUGUUCAAACACAAUGUUGAACACACACCACGCCGAGCACCCUGGAAUCCAACACAUUCUUUACAUGCCCCAAUUUCAUAAUUACUGCCCACUCUCCCUCCUUUAUCUCCAUCCAUCUCUCCCUCUUUCUGUCUGAGUUGAUUAUUUGCCAUUUAAGCCCAUGGAACGUCUGUGUUCUGUCGCCUGUCCGCCCAUCGCUCUCUCUCCUCCCUUUCUCUCUCCUCUCUUUCUCUCUCUCUCGUUUUCUCCUCUCUUUCUCUCUCUCUCGUUUUCUCCUCUCUUUCUCUCUCUCGUUUUCUCCUCUCUUUCUCUCUCUCUUGUUCUCUCCUCUCUUUCUCGUUCUCUCCUCUUUCUCUCUCUCUCGUUUUCUCUCUCUCGUUCUCUCCUCUUUCUCUCUCUCUUGUUCUCUCCUCUCUUUCGCUCUCUCGUUCUCUCCUCUCUUUCUCUCUCUCGUUCUCUCCUCUCUUUCUCUCUCGUUCUCUUCUCUCAUUCUCUCCUCUCUUUCUCUCUCGUUCUCUUCUCUCUUUCUCUCUCUCGUUCUCUCCUCUCUUUCGCUCUCGUUCUCUCUCUCUCGUUUCUCUCUCUCGUUCUCUCCUCUCGUUCUCUCUCUCGUUCUCUCCUCUCGUUCUCUCUCUCUCAUUCUCUCUCUCUUUCUCUCCUCUCUUUCUCCUCUCUUUCUCUCCUCUCUUUCUCUCUCUCUCGUUCUCCCCUCUCUCUCUCCUCUCUCGUUCUCUCCUCUCGUUCUCUCUCUCUCAUUCUCUCCUCUCUUUCUCUCCUCUCUUUCUCUCUCUCUUUUCUCUCUCUCUCUCUUCUCUCUCUCCUCUCUCGUUCUCUCCUCUCUUUCUCCUCUCUCGUUCUCUCCUCUCUUUCUCUCUCUCUUGUUCUCUCCUCUCUUUCUCUCUCUCUCGUUCUCUCCUCUCGUUCUCUCUCUUGUUCUCUCCUCUCUCUCUCCUCUCUCGUUCUCUCUCUCAUUCUCUCCUCUCCACCUUCUGAACAAACAAUAAGGUCAUUGUACAGAGUGAAAUAACUGCCGACAAAAUAUUAUUAUUUUUUUCGAUGUUUCUCCCUCCUCAUUAUUGUCUCUCUGCAGUGUUGGGAACAGCGUGGGACAAUAGCAGCCUAAUGAGUGCAGUGCCCCCCCUGAACCCUCAGGCAGGGAGGUGUAAUUGCAAUUAAUUCAGCUAAUGGCUGCUUGGCUAAUAAUAACAUUGGCACAGCAGAAGUACUAUAGCAUUCAGUUCACACAUUCCCCAUCUCUCAAGGUCUAGCCCAUUAGUACGUAACUUUCACACACUGUCCUGGGCUUUUAGGAGGCUAAAAGAGGAAGCAACAAAAGCCUAUUUACCAGUAAAGACCCCAGCCAAUAAGUAACUAGGGAGAAAAAAAGGUAUUGCUUUUGGUGCCAUAAUAACUGUAAUUCCCGCAAUAACUGUAAAAGAAUGGCACCCUAUUUCAGUGUCAGUCAUAUGAGGGUAGGACAGGUAUAGAGGGUUUGUCAAAUCCAUGCUUUUGAAACAGGCCAUGCGUUAAAAAUGUAGGGUUGCUUUUCGUUUAUCCCUAAAUGCCUGUUCUGGGGUGAGGGCAGAGGUAGUGGUUUUUAUUUAUACCCAAUGUCUGUUAUAGAGUGGAGGUGGGGUAAUGGUGUUCUGAUAUCUGUUAUAGAGUGGAGGUGGGGUAAUGGUGUUCUGAUAUCUGUUAUAGGGUGGAGGUGGGGUAAUGGUGUCCUGAU
ensembl:lncRNA